rnacentral:lncRNA from 1 species
AAUAUAUACACCAUUAUUAACAUAAAUACUUCCUUCAUACUCAUUUCAUAACAAAAAUAGCGGAUUUCUCAAUCUAUUUUAUGUAAACAGCUCAUAAUUUUUUCCAACACUAAAGACUGGUUCUUUUUGGAUUUCUGAGUGGUAUAGAAGUUGUUCCCAACUGUUUCAACUACUAGUACUCCAUUUUAAUGGCAAAAAUAUUCAAGCAUCUCUGCCCACAAUAGGCUUUGAUCUUAAAUUAUUCAUUGAUUAGGAAAAAAAGUACAAUGAUAAGAAAAUAUAAUCAAUGCAGUGAUAGUUUUAAUAGAAUGUAUGUUUUUGGAUAAGCCUUUGCCAAAUGGAACAUUUAGUCAAUCAUCUAUAAGUCUCUGUAUAUCCUUUUAUUUGGCCUCAAAUUGACUAGACCAUUAUUUUAAAAAGUAAAACAUAUUUUGUCUUAUAAAAAAGUAUGUUUUGGAGUUCCCGUCAUGGCACAGUGGAAACGAAUCCGACCAGGGACCAUGAGGUUGCAGGUUCCAUCCCUGGCCUCACUCAUGGGUUAAGGAUCCAGCAUUGCCAUGAGUUGUGGUGUAGGUCGCAAACACAGCUCGGAUCUGGCGUUGCCAUUGCUAUGGCUCUGGCGUAGGCUGGCAGCUACAGCUCCGAUUCAACCCCUAGUCUGGGAACCUCCAUAUGCCAUGGGAACACCCCUCAAAAGACAAAACAAACAAACAAACAAAAAGUAUGUUUUGUAACCACCCACAAGUGCUUUUGUACACAUUUGAAAAACAGCACUACAACCACAUUCAAGAUACACUAGCUAUUCAUUAGUAGUUAAACUACAGGUAAUGCUUGGUUCAUAUGUGAGCUCUUAUAGUCUCUACAAUCCCUAUCAUAACUUUUCUGAGAAGCCCAAAUACUGGAUAAAUGUAGCAAAGCAUGUAUACAUACAAAAUCUGUAAGAUCAUCACAAACGUGUAUUAUGCAUAAAUAAUCUAUAAGGAAAAAUAAUCAAAAUAGUGAUACAUAACCUCCAUUAAAAUAACCCUGAAGGUUUUUACUUCAUCAAUGUUUUACACUGUGAUUUUUUUUCAUGGAAAAUUUUCUAGUAAAAGAGAUGAGAAGCUGCAAGCAGGUUCUG